UACGGGGGGAGCAAGCGUUGUUCGGAUUUACUGGGCGUAAAGGGCGCGUAGGCGGCCACCGCAAGUCGACUGUGAAAUCCCCGGGCUCAACCUGGGAACUGCAUCCGAGACUGCAUUGCUAGAGUAUGGGAGAGGGAAGCGGAAUUUCUGGUGUAGCAGUGAAAUGCGUAGAUAUCAGAAGGAACAUCAGUGGCGAAGGCGGCUUCCUGGACCAAUACUGACGAUCAGGUGCGAAAGCGUGGGGAGCAAACAGG
rnacentral:rRNA from 1 species